UCCAAUCCGUCUACAUCCGUGAGGGCAUGGU
rnacentral:piRNA from 1 species